AAAGGCGUACAGUCUAUCGCCUCGUAAGCAGGUGGACGCACAAUCAUUUGGGACUCAGCCCAGUUGAUUAAGGUGAAGAUGUAGGCAUUUCGUCUGAGCCGGGUUGUCAAGGUGGAAUUGCGGCAGAAGCAGAAGUCCUAAAGUGGCGAGAUCUAAUUGCUGCCUCUUACUUGGGAAUGGAAUGGAUGAAGCGAUAUGUAUGUGUGAGGGGAGAGGACUAAGAGAGUAUCCUUAACAGGCAAGAUUUCAGCUUCAAAGUCUCCUGUACCUCUCCUCACCCCAGCCUUAGACAACUCAGCCUAACACCAUCAUCGCCACCAUCACCAAUUCACUGUCGUCCGAUAGUCAUGCACAGGCUUCUAUGUCUGACUUCUGAGCCAACCACGAAGCUGACUCCUUAAAGUCUUAUUCGAGUUAAAGAAUUCAUCAGCUUUCUAAAUGUUCUUUGGAGUUCAGAAGACUAUAAACACGGUUAUGAAAACUCUGUCAUCAAGCUGCUUCCAGUCCCUUUGCUUUUGUAUUGUGGGUCCUCUUUGCCUUGUGUAAUCAUUUUCGACACUUUGUGAUGAAUCUUGCAGAGAUCUCCACAACUCUUCCUUCGAUUUCAAUGUAGAAUCAAACCCUCUGAUUCUGAAAAAUAAUUUUAGA